GAUGAACGCUGGCGGCGUGCCUAAUACAUGCAAGUCGAGCGAACAGACGAGGAGCUUGCUCCUCUGACGUUAGCGGCGGACGGGUGAGUAACACGUGGAUAACCUACCUAUAAGACUGGGAUAACUUCGGGAAACCGGCGCUAAUACCGGAUAAUAUAUUGCACCGCAUGGUUCAAUAGUGAAAGACGGUUUUGCUGUCACUUAUAGAUGGAUCCGCGCCGCAUUAGCUAGUUGGUAAGGUAACGGCUCACCGAGGCAACGAUGCGUAGCCGACCUGAGAGGGUGAUCGGCCACACUGGAACUGAGACACGGUCCAGACUCCUACGGGAGGCAGCAGUAGGGAAUCUUCCGCAAUGGGCGAAAGCCUGACGGAGCAACGCCGCGUGAGUGAUGAAGGUCUUCGGAUCGUAAAACUCUGUUAUUAGGGAAGAACAAAUGUGUAAGUAACUAUGCACGUCUUGACGGUACCUAAUCAGAAAGCCACGGCUAACUACGUG
rnacentral:rRNA from 1 species